UUUAAAUAUGCAUGAAUGCAUCAAACUUACAAUCUGAAAGGGUUUCUUUCUUGAGAAACUACCUUUACUCAGAUUCUUUAGAUGAACCAGUGGAGUAUGUUUAUUUAUUAUAAUAGUUCAUAAUUCACCAACAUUACGGGCCAUUUUUCAUUUGUUUUGCUGCAUCUGAAGGAAGCGGAAGGGGCCAACUAAUUUGGAGGUCACCCUGUAGUUUCCCCUGUUUCUCUCAAGCUUCAGAGAAUAGUAAGGUUGGUUCAUCAAUUGAUUAUAUUUGCAGGCCUACGCAAAGACAAGUGACCCAUGUUGUGUGGCUAAAGACGAGGUGCAAGUAUUUAACAGUUCGAUCUUUGCUGUUAUGGACAACACUAGAAUCAAUCAAAGUGACAUUGGUGACAUCGUGGUUGGGACGGUUCUAGGUCCUGGUUCGCAGCGUGCAAACGAGUUCAGAAUGGCUGCUUUCAAUGCUGGAUACCCUGGUAAAUCCAUAUGUUUGCAACCAUGGCACCAUCUUAUGAAGAAGAGGAUUCUAUCUUCUGUGUAAAAUUUUCACCAUCCCGUUUUGAUGUUGCAAAAACUGUUCCUUUGAGAACUAUCAACCGGUAAUGCUCAUCUAGGUUAGAGGCAGUAGCUGACGUUGCUGCCGGCCGCCGCCAUAAAGGCUGGUUUCUUUGACAUAGAUCAUGCAGUAUGCUGAAUAUACACGCUAGCUUUGCUGCUGUUAUCUUGUUUCAGUGCUGAAUAUAA